CGAAAGCCUGACGGAGCAACGCUGCGUGUGGGAAGAAGGCUCUUGGGCUGUCAACCACUUUUCUCAGGGAAGAAGAUCUGACGGUACCUGAGGAAUCAGCCUCGGCUAACUCCGUGCCAGCAGCCGCGGUAAUACGGAGGAGGCAAGCGUUAUCCGGAAUCAUUGGGCGUAAAGCGUUCGUAGGCGGCUGUUCAAGUCUGCUGUCAAAGGUCGGAGCUCAACUCCGGUUCGGCAGUGGAAACUGGUGGGCUAGAGGGCGACAGGGGUAGAGGGAAUUCCCAGUGUAGCGGUGAAAUGCGUAGAGAUUGGGAAGAACACCGGUGGCGAAAGCGCUCUACUGGGUCGCACCUGACCCUCAGGGACGAAAGCUAAGGGAGCG
rnacentral:rRNA from 1 species